rnacentral:lncRNA from 1 species
UUAAAAUAGAUCUUACGUAUAGGUAUAUAUUUACGGAAAUUUUAAAAUUGACAUUCCCUACUCACCUCACAAUAGCGGGAUAUUACAUCGCUAUUGAUUCUUACGUGUCUAUAAUUAUUCCUACUUGCCGAUCACAUCUCACUUUGUUUUAGCAGUGAUACCAACAUUUAACAAUUAUGCGGUAAAACAGUUUGAACACUCAAUAAAAUGCAUCAGGUCAGAUAAUGGAUUAGAAUUCAGACUAAAAGAUUUUUUUGACAAAACAGGCAUAGUUCAUCAGCUUUCAUGUGUUGAGACCCCUCAACAAAAUGGGGUUGUUGAGCGGAAGCAUCAACAUAUUUUGGUUGUAGCAAGGGUGUCAUGACCCAGAACUCCCAUCGGCCCAUAACAAUCGCCGCAAUGUCCCAAUAGGCACUCAUUACCCCGAAUGUCAAUCGAAACCUCGCAAGGCUUAGCAUCAGCUUCCGCAUCUCCCCGGUGAGCAACAGUUAUUAAAUCUCACAUUUCAAGAAAUCAUAAGUCAUUUUCAAAUCAAAAUAAUAAAAUAUUAUUUUCUGGCUCAUAGAGGCAUUUUCGUCAUUUUUCGUCAAAAAUCUCAAAACUUACUAAAAAUGUAGUAGGUAAGCAGAAAGAAUAUAUUUAGUAAUUUAAAAACAAAUUAAGUAUCUAAAACAUUCAUUUGAAGUGAAAAUUUGACCAUUUGAAUAUAAUAAAAAUAUUCAAUAAAAUAAACUAUUUUAUUGUAAAAUAAUUUUUUAUAAAGCUAUCGAUAAAUAAUUCUUAUAGCGUAAAAGUUAAUUAUAUUCAUAUAUACUAUAAAGCAAAUAACCAAAGCAUAAAAUUACUUUUACAGCGACAUGUGGGCCCUUAACUGACCAAGAAGGUGUAGAGCUACGAACCCUUACUUUCUAGGAUGCAACUCCAAGAUUAAUUCUUGUCUUAAUCAACUAUCAACAAACUGUCCUGAGCCUAAAAAAAAUGAAUAGGAAGAGGGGUGAGAUUAUCUAAUCUCAGUGAGUAAACAAUUACCAUCAAAAGCAUCUAAAACCGAGUAGAUGGAGACAAUAUAAAAAUGUUAUAUUUCAAUAAUGUUCAUAACGCAAAAUUCAUUUCAAUCUAUACCAACGAUUUCUUUUCAUCAAAAUUUCCCUAGCUUAUAAGUUUCUUAAACUUGGCCCCUGCCAGAAUCAUUCUUGCGGGUACCUUCGUCAAAGUAUCCCACUGAAAUCGCCAAGGCUAUUAAAUGUUUCACACCCAUAAACAUGUUUUCGUAUUUGACACAUAGCCGUUCCUUGGCGUUGGCUGAGUCUCACUCUCUCGUGGUGCCCCGAACGUGAGGUGCACUCAAAUUUUACCUCAGGAGAUACUUCACCCAACAUCUCCCUCUGGAGGUAAAUAUAUAAUUGGGUUGUCGUACCCCUCUCAUAGGCAUUCCACGGAAACCCCCACUACUGUAGUGACCGUUUAAUAUACCACCAGACCCAUAAAAUUUUCAGUAGCAUAAUAUGGCGAAUAAAAUUUAAUCCAGUCUACCGAGACCAAUCCAAAACUAUUCAUAUAUUUCAUGCCGACCCCAAAAAUUUAGCCAGUGUCAUAAGCUACAAUUUCAAUAACAUAUAAAAUCAUAAAUUCAACACAGUCUCCAUAUACUCAAUUUUUCUAAAAUAAUAUUUGAUUUCAAAACCAGUAUAAAUCUCAUUUUUUAUAAAAAAAAUAUUUUAAUUGGAAAACAUAAUAUUUUAUAAUUUAAACUCACCAUUCAAUAAAAGCAUCAAACAAGUAUAAUUACUCUAGAUAUUUAAGACGAUAAAUUAUCCACUCACAGUAUUAGGAGUAGAAAUACUCCUAUUUUCAGUCCGUGGGUACAGUCCUUUACCCGUAUCCAAUGGCCCAUCACCUAGCCAUAAUCCAUGACACAUAUUCUAAUUAAAUUGUGUCUAACAGUCAUAAGCUAUUUCAAGCUCGAUAUAUAUGCAUGAUAUGAAAUGAAAAAUGCACGGGUAGCCAUCUAGACCCGGUAUUGGCCUAAGUCGAUUUUUCAUCCGAUAAAUUGUCCAAUGCGUCCAAUUUCACUCCAACUUGCUCCAUUGCUUUUCCAAUCUCUCAAUUCACCAAGCACAACUAAUUAACACACAAUUAGGCAAAAUUUAUCUUCACUUUUUUUCUUGGAAAUUUCAGCCAACAAUGGUACACUAACUCUGUGAUUUUUCCUACUUAAUUUUCUCUCAAUAAUUCAUUAAUUCCUACACCAAAAACUAUUAUUUCUUAAUCAAAUCACCUAGAAUAACAUCUCAUUCUUCCUCAUUAUUCACUUAGAGAAUUCGGCUAUUGAUGGGCACCAAACCUUUGGUGGUUUUCUUCACUUGUUUUCAUACUACACAUCAUUAAUCACCUAAAAAUACUAACAUACCUAAAAAUCAAACCAAUCCAAGAUCAUUCUCUCUCCAUACCCAUUGUGACCAGCCAUGAAUUCACCAUGAAAGCAUACUUUUCAACCAUGAAAAUUAAGGGAAAAUGCAUAGGGAAAAUAGUUCAUAAACUAAAAUCAAGAAAUUUUACCUUUUUUCACUUGAUUUCCUUGAAAAUCCACACUUUUCUCUUGAAUUUCUUUCCACCUUGGGUUUGUUCUUCCUUUCCCCUUUGUUUUCUUGCUAUGGCCGGCCAUAAUGAAGAGAAAAUGGUGGUGUGGGCUGAUUUUUAUAGUUAAAUAAUAUAAUAAUUUAAACUUACCACAUGACAUUCCAUGAUUGGUCUAUAUUUUAAAUUCUUAUCUUUUAAGCUUUAAAUCUCCACCAUACAUUAUUCAAGGGUCAAAAAUGAUGAUGGGUGAAGACCUUGUGCUGAAAAAGUGUUAUGGGGGUGCAAAAUUACCGUUUUGCCCUCGAGUGGUAAAAUUACCAUUUCGCCCCUGUACUCCAAAUUAUACCGAAAUUAAAAUUUUUCACUUCUAAACCUCAACCCAUACUCCAAUAAGUCAAAUGGGGCAAAAAAAAAAUCUUUUCUAAAAAUUUCCAUUUUGUCUCCAUGUGGCAAAUGAUCAUUUUGCCCCUGGAUAGUGAAAAUUUCGGUUUGACUCCAAAUUGAUCCUCGAGCUCUGAAUUAUCAUUUUGAGUCAUUCCUGGACCGUGAAACUCUUAAUUUUACCUUAAAAUUCCUAUUUGAACUAGUUCGAGGCUUAAUCGACUUAAUGGUACCAUUAGGGGUAAUAUCAUCUUUUAACGAUUCCUCGAACUUCCUAAAUAUGCAAACAUUCUAUUGAGCAUGUAAAUGACGUCGUAAUUAUGUUAUAGAACAGGGUUUGACAAAGGGCCUUACUAUUUCAAUCUAGUCUGCCUACUCACUUUUGGGGUGAUGUUGUAAUGACAGCUGUGCAUAUCAUUAAUAGAGUACCAACAAGGUUACUCAAGAACAAAUCCCCAUUUGAAUUGUUAUAUAAGAGACAACCUUCAUAUGAGCAUUUGAGAGUGUUUGGUAGCCUAUGUUUUGUAUCUACUUUGUCAUAGCACAGAAAGAAAUUAGACCAAAGAGCCACAAAAUGCAUUUUUUUAGGCUAUCCAAAUAACACAAAAGGUUAUAGGGUAUAUGAUCUCAAUGCAAACAGAAUCAUAAUUUCAAGGAAUAUUGUUUUUCAUGAAGGAACAUUCUCUUUUCAGUCAAAACAGCACACUACAUGGCCUGAACCAUUUUGUCAAACACCCGGUAUGCAUACCAAAUAUUCACCUCAAAUUGACUCAGACUUACCAAAUUUUCAUUACCAAGAUUACAUACUUGUUGAAACAUAUAGUUUUGAACCUAAUACAAGUGCUCAAACACCAUCAACAUCACAGAUAAAUGACUUUGAGCCAAAUUCCCUUGAUACAGUUAGUAUGCCUACUGCAACUAACAGUGAAAAUGUAACCAGCAGCAAUGAACAUGAUCCAAAUGAAAAUUUACCAGUUAGAAGAAGCACAAGACAUAAAUAUGCUCCUAAAUAUCUGGAUGCUUAUCAUGUUGACAUGCCUUCAAAAUCUCAUACUGUCACUGCUCACCCAAUCACUAAAUUCCUGUCUACAAAGAACCUGUCACCUACAUACAAAACAUUCACUACAUCUCUGUCACACACAUUUGAACCUUCCACUUAUCAUCAAGCUACUACUUAUUCUCAUUGGAGAGAUGCCAUGAGUGCUGAAUUGAAAGCUUUACAAGACAGUGAAACGUGGAGCACAGUACCAAGACCUCCAAAUUCUCAUGUAAUUGGGUGCAAGUGGGUGUACAAAGUGAAGUUGAAUGCAGAUGGACAAAUUGAAAGAUAUAAAGCUCGCUUGGUUGCAAAAAGGUAUAACCAAAUUGCAGGUUUUGACUACAAGGAGACUUUCAGUCCUGUAGCUAAGCAAACAACAGUAAGAGUAUUCUUUGCCAUAGCAGCAGCUUUCAAUUGGCAUAUAAUACAGUUGGAUGUGAACAAUGCAUUCUUGAAUGGAGAUUUAAAGGAGGAGGUGUACAUGGACAUAUCGCCAGAAUAUGAGAUCCAAGGGGUGUAUCUAGAAAAAGUGAAAUUGGUCUGCAAACUUCAUAAGUCACUAUAUGGCUUAAAGCAGGCAUCUAGGGAGAGGAAUGCCAAAAUCACAUCUUUAAUUAUAUUUAUUCAGUCCAAUGCAGAUCACUCACUGUUUACUAUGAAAACAAACAAUGAUGAGUUCAUUGCACUCUUAUUGUAUGUAGAUGACAUACUAGUAAGGAGUUCUUCAAAACAAGCUGCAGAUGAUGUGAAAUUGUUCCUAAGUUCACAUUUUAAGCUCAAGGAUUUAGGAAUAGUCAAAUAUUUUCUCGGGUUAGAAAUAGCAAGAUCUCCUGAAGGUAUCUCCAUAUCACAAAGAAAAUACACUUUGGAUCUAUUAGAAAAACAUAGGUUGUUAGGUGCAAAACCAAUCUCCACUCCUAUUGACUAUAAUCAGAAGUUAGUCAAGGCUCAAGAUGAAGAGAAGCUUAUCAAUUCAACAGACUAUAGACAAUUAGUUGGGAAAUUACUAUACCUCACAUUCAGCAGACCGGACAUAGCAUAUGCAGUUCAAGUAUUGUCACAGUUUAUGGACAAGCCUAGUCUUAAACAUAUGAAUGCAGCUCACAGGGUGCUGAAAUAUCUGAAGGGGUCAGCUGGUCAAGGUAUCCUGAUGAAGUCAGAAUCAAAUUUAAUGAUUGUGGGAUACUGUGACAGUGAUUGGGCAGGUUGUCCUGAUUCUAAGAAGUCAAUCACAGGAUACAAUAUAUUCAUUGGAAAUUCUUUGGUGACAUGGAAAUCUAAGAAACAAUCAGUGGUUCUCAAAGCUCAGUAGAAGCUGAGUACAGGGCAAUGGCAUUAGCUAGUUAUGAAAUUAUCUGGUUGAAACAUCUUUUAGCAGACUUUGGAAUUAAGCAUAAAGUUGCAGUGGUACUCUAUUCAGACAGUUAGUCAGCCAUUCACAUAAGCAAGAACCCGAUCUUCCAUGAGAGGACCAAACAUAUAGAGAUGGAUUGCCACUUCAUUAUGGAGAAAGUGAUUGAAGGUACAAUCAAACCAAUAAAUAUUUCAACUAAUUUGCAACUAGUUGAUCUAUUCACUAAAGCCUUACAACCAAGGCAAUUCCACAAUCUUUUGAGUAAGAUGAAUGUUCACAACAUUCACAUAUCAUCUUGAGGGGGAGUAUUAGAUAACACAGCAUUGAAUAAGCUCGAAGCAAUUGUAAAGAGUUUUGUGAAGAAGACUCGAGCAGAAGGAAGAAACAGGAAGUUUGGAAAUAAAUGAACAGAGCUGUGCGCACCAUUUUGAAGAAAGCAAGAGGAAAAACUUGAAAUAAAAUGAAACGUUGUGUUUUAUUUUAUUAGUUUUAAAUUUAAAUUAUGUUAGUUAAAUAUUGUAAUUAUUAGUUAUUUUUUUUAUUUUUAACUCUUAAAACAUUGUAUAUAAACAAUUUUUUUUUAGAUAUUUUUUGAAUAGAAAAUACUUAAAAUGACUUUUCUUUCUAAAAGGAUGAGCCGGCACUGCUUUCUUACUUCCUGCAGCUUUCUGACAAAUGUGAAUAUAUUUAUUUCAAAUACAAAAAAUGAUUCCGCAUGCAUACAGCAUACCGAACGCCCCCUUAGACAGCUAGAGCUCACGUUCUGGCUCAUUGACUCAUUGAAAUUCUGAGCAAGUCUGUCUGAUGUACGUUUCCAUACUUUCAGUGCACGGCCUCCAAGAAAUGUGUCUUGUUCUUUCUCCAACUUGAAGUUUGGCGUUUUUAGGAUAUAAUUUAUCUUCUUUCCACUGCCAUUGUGCAAUCUUUAUGUCAAUCGGGAGCUUCCAACCUCGAACCCGUUGCUUACUUUGACAGAUUCAACAAGCAGUUUUAAGUCAUUGAUGGAGGACGCAAGUUGCAGUUGUACUAAGCUAUCUCUUUUGCUGAGGUGAUGACUAAGUCCUCUGUAUAGGUCCCAUAUUUUUCACCCAAACCGAUACAGGAAAUUGUACGCCAAAGAAAAGUCUCCAUGACAGGAAACUUACAAUGAAGCUUCUCAGAAUCAAGGUUCCGAGGUCUAUUUAAGGCUGCGAUAUGAAGUAAGCAGAGAACAAGACAGAGAGAGGGAGAGAGGAAGAUUUAUUCAGAGAUGGAGAAAAUGAAGGAAAAAGGGAAGCGACUGUUCACCCACAGAAUCGACAGCUGCAGAUUCAAACCUGGAGAUCAUAUAUAUGGCUACAGGGGAUUUGGUUCAUACAGCCAUCAUGGUCUGUUUUCUUUUCCGUUUCUUUUCCUUUUAAUGUAUAUGCACAUUGAUUUUCCUGGAGACACUCAUACGCUUUAAUUAAUGAAAAUUCCAGGAAUAUAUGUUGGUGAAGAUUGUGCGAUUCAUUUCAUCCCGACAGAAAGUGACGGUCUCUCCAAGCAAGACCCUCCUUGUCCAAAAUGUGGAUAUCAGCACAACGUUCACCUCGGAGUGGUGAAGACCUGCCUGGAUUGCUUCCUAUCCAACGGUGCCCUUUCAAGCGAUUCCCUCUGUCUUUACCAAUACGAAGAAUCGGAGUUGGUUAAGAUGUUGAAAAGAGCUGGCAGCUGCAGUAGCUCCAAAUGUUUACCACCCCAAACCGUUGUGAACAUUGCCAACGAGCUCCACAAGGAAAAUUGUUUCGGCCGCUAUGACCUUGUUGGGAACAACUGUGAAGACUUCAGUACAUUUUGUAAGACUGGCAUUCGCAGAAGUGAACAGGUCCUUAGUGUUAUGAAUUUACCUAUGAUGCCAUUCCUGGCCAAGGUAUUGGAGAGCUUAAAGCUCUCUCUACCUAAAUAAUGCUUUAGAAAGAAAAUCCAAAAAAUUGUGUGUAAUUUCAAUAAGAUUUAGGAGGAUUUCUGAGUACCAAAUUUCUAAGAUUUCCUAAUGAUGAAGAUAUAUCAAGUGUUAACAUUGUUGACUUUAGUAUUAAUUCCAUCAAAUACUUGUUAUUUGUGCUCUUAUUUUUUUAAAGAAAAUUAUGAGCAAUUACUAUAUGCUUGUCUAUUUAGUUAAAUGGUAUGUUGAAGAGCUUGAUUUUUUUUUUUUAAUUCUUUCUUCAAGUUUAAUGCUCUCACUAUAAGUGACAAUCAUAGAGUGAGAUGAUUGAACCUAGAACCUAAUUUAUUAAUCAGGUUUAAGACCCAAUGUAUUAAUUAUUUUUGGAUCUUAAUGGGUUAAUUGGGUCUUGGAACUUGAUAGUCUAAAUUGAAUUAAAAAACAAAAACAAAAACAAAAAAUAAUAAUAGUAAUAGAAAGUGCAACAAAAUAAAAUAAAAAUCUGAAAUGGAGGGGAUGGAUCGCGGAAUCCCAAUUCCUAAAUCCACAAGGCUCAAUGUCUUUCUUGUAACGACCCUUCCCCGGUCGCUAUUGACGUUCGAGACUUCCGGAAGAUCCCGUUAAGUCCCGAACAAGCUUUCAUGAAAUUUCUAGAUAUCUCUUUAUACAUAUUUACUAAACAUUAUUAAUGCUCAAAACAUAUAUAUUUAUUCCAUGAAUUUAACAAUAAGCAUAGUAAUUUGAUUGGGAUCUUUAAGUCAUAAUAUCAUGAUUAAAUACAUCGAGUUUAAUACCCCAAAAUUUUCGUUUAUAUCAAAACUAAAAUCUAUUUACAUAAUGAUGCCAAAUUGCUAAAACUUGACCUUUAACAGUGAGCGACUUGGAAUGAAAGGCUAAGAGAUGCUUUUACCUAUCUACAAUGGAUCGUAUGCACCGAUGAUUGCACGUUAAGCUGAUCCCUGUUUACAAAAGAGAAAAUGAGAGGAGUGUGAGUCUCACAGACUCAGUGAUCAUCGAUUCUGUGAGUAAGGCGUAGAUGAAAAACAAGUAAUAAGGUAAAGAUUUUGAAUAAUAAAAAUUGCAAAAGUAGAUAAAAAUAUUUAAUUCAAAUGGAGAUUUGUACCUUAUAUAUAUAAAAGAAAAUAUCGAGAAUCUCUUAUAAGUCAUAAUCAACCAUAAUGUAUAUCAAAUCAAGUAAGUAAACUUUUGUGCAGCGAGAAGGUUAAUAACCAUUUUCAAACUAAAUCAGUAAGAUAUCGUUUUAAACCUCGUGUUCAUAAAAGAUCUUUGCAGUCGAAAUUAUCUCAUGUAAUACUCAAAUCAAAUCAAUAAAGUUGGCCAAGCUCCCGCGAAACCAAAUAGUAACCAGAGUUAUAUAUAGUUCGCAAAUCACCUCACACGCGAGGGUAAAAUUCAUAUAACAAUAAAUCCAGGGGGGAAGCUGCAGGAAACCGUAUAAUUUUGUUUUCACCAUGUAAGAAAUAAAAGUCUAAAAACCCAAAGAGAUUUUUGUCUCGAGUAGGAAAUCAAAUAAAAUCCGUGGUCCCACUACUACAUAAUAACCUCCGGGAGUCUCGCUCCACCGGAUUCCACAUGCCAUGGAAGUCUCAAUGAUGUUAGCUGACAUCGGAGAAUCAAGCGGUUGCAACUGCGUAAUCAUCUAGUGGCCUAGCCACGCAUACAUAUAUCACAGGCCGUGGUCCCCACCACGUCUAACCACCCGUUGGCGAUCCAAAAGUCCUCUAGCUAGAGCUCACUCGUGCACGAGGGUCACACUUAACCCAAGUGAUAGUUGGCCUACUCUCGAAUCUCUCGGUUUAUAAAACCAUUUUAGAAAUCACUUUAUGUCCUUAAAAUCUCGUUUCAAAAUUAUUUCCAAAGCAUUCAACAUAAGGUAUGAUAAAAUUUAUCAUUUUCUCAAAAUGAAUUUAUGCAUGAACUUCAAAACAAUAAUUUGCAUGGUGGAUAAGCAAUAUAACCAUGACUGCACACUGCACAAAUAUAAGGCACAGAUUUUGAGGUAAAACAGUGCGAAAGGCUUGUUUCCCGAUUUUUAAAACUCUUUACAUAUAAUUUAUACAUAUAUAUAUAUAUUCAAAACGAUUUCUAAACAUAAUUUGCAACCACAAUUUUCUAAGAUUGCUACCAGCACAUGCUAUCCACAAUUUUCGCGUUUAAAAUAGAUUUUACGUAUUGGUAUAUAUUUACAAAAAUUUUAAAAUUGACACUUCCUACUCACCUCACAAUAACGGGAUAUUACAUCGCUAUUGAUUUUUACGUGUCUAUAAUUAUUCCUACUUGCCGAUCACAUCUCACUUUGUUCGGCACGCCAUCAAUACAAGCUUUCCUAACAACAAUUCAAACUCAAUAUAUUUAGUGCCCACUUUAACCUUUCGAAGUAACUUCCGCCCAAACCCAUCUUAAUAUUUUUAUAAUAUUAACCAUAUUUACGGCAACAACAAUCAUUUCAAAUCUACUUAAUCAUUUUCCAAUUUCAUCCACAUUAUUCUCCCUUAUUUCUUCCAAUUAAUAUAACAUGUAACUUAACACUUCUAACUAAUUUAUGUAAAUAAAUUCCUCCGACAACAAUAAUUCCUCACAAUGAAUCAUUUCAAAAUUUUUUAACUAUAUUUAAAACACUAUUCAUUCAUCUCAUAUUUUCUUUUUUGCUUUAAUCCUAUGAAAAUCAUAAAAUAAUUUUUAAAUAUUAUAUUAAAACAACUUAAUUUAAUUCAUAUCAUCAAUAAUCUAAAUUUAGCUAAACAAGAUGGACUAGCCUCCAAAUAAUCUAAUUUCAUAACAAGUCCAAAAAAAAGAGCAAGGCAAUUUUUACCAAUUUGGGCUGGGUGGUCCAAAUCUCCACCUUUAUUCUCUUUCCCUUUCUAUUCCACCUUGUUCCAGCCGGCCUUCUCAUGAACCAGCACCCAUGGACAGCACAAGCUCUCUCUCUCCCUCACAUCAUUGGCAGCUUAAAGUCCCCUCCCUACUUCCACCGUUGGUUAGCUCUCUCUUUUUCCGCCAGCCACCACAACCCAAAUCUUUCUCUUUUCCUUCCUCCAAAUUCCAGCAAUUAACACCCUUGUUUUCCCCUAUCAAAAUCAGCUGCACAGCUCUUUCUUUCCUCUAUCAAAAAUCAGCUUCUUCCUCCCUUUUAUUUUUGUUCAAUAAAUGGCUUCCUCUUUUCCUUUUUUCACCGCCGGUCACCUUUCUUUCCUUCUUCUUCUUUCUUUUCUUCUUUCUUUGGCCGGC